GCUACACAAGCCAUCCCCUCUCUUUGCUUCUGUAAUUGUGACAUUUUUUCUGUUUAGAAGACAGUUAUAGCCUUACACCAAGUUGGCCUUCACACCAUACAUACAUAUAUAUAUACAC